ACUUGACAAAGCGUUUGAGAUCUUCAUAGGGGAGAGUUUCAAUUUUUUCCCUUCUUAGUGCACUCAGUGCAGGACGUUUAUCAAGCAGAUGCCACAGCCAAUCAGGGUAUUCAGAAUCAGGCAAGAUCUUGGGAUCUGCUCCAUCCUUGAGAAUAUUGGCACCGACUACAGUAGUAGAUUUAAUUUCAUUGUUAAGUGUUGAUUUUGGAGCAUCAGCUGCUGCUCCCCCUUUGGCACCCUUUUUUGCUUUGCCAGUCCCAGUAGCAAAUGUUCGUUGCUCCACUGUCCUAACUGCCUCCUUAGUAAUCAUGAUACCUCUCAAUGAUUUGAUGUGGUUCAUUGCCCUAGCUCCUGCAACAUUAGCUCUAACAAUUACAAAAGGGUGAAUUCUGAACAAAUAAAAACUCAGGCACAUUCUUACAUAAACUUUCAGAUAACUAGUAUCUGAAUUUCUCAGCUUUGAGCUAAAGAUGCUUCAAUAUGGUCAGCAGAUGUUAUCCUCCAAACAACUGAGGAUUUAGGAAACUUUAAAUACCUACCUCAAUUGCCAACAUUCUGACAGGAGUAGAAUGGAAAUAUAUGAAAAUAAUCAACUGAAAGAAAUUUGGGAUUAACUUGCAGAAAAAGGUAAUUACUAACAUUAGCUCAUCAUGAAAUAAAAAUGAAAGCAUAAACAUAAUAGCAACAAGCAGAGAAUAUAGUUCAACAAAACAUGUAUAAGAUCACCAUAACAAACAUCAAGUUUACAAUUCAUUUCAUUGCACUUCAUAAAGACUAACAGAGUAUGCACAGUCAAAAGAAAAAGAGAAAAAGAUCACGCAGGUAUUCAAAACCGUGUUAUCACAAGGUCAGAUUCAAUGAAGGCACAAAAAAUUACAAAAUCACGUCUUGCAGGUGAAAAAAAUCAGACUACAAUAACUGAUAAAUUUUCAAUUUUUUUCUCCACAUUAAAUAUUUUUUCAGCUAAGAGCAUUCAAUAGCCAUCUUUAACAAGUCAAUUUAAAAAUUCAAAUUACAAUCAUUAAAAAAAAAAAAAUUAGAGGGAGGGUUGUGCAGUUCUGGAAGAAGAAAGAAGUUUCAGUCCAACUAACCCAACAGAUUUAUUUACAAUCUUGACAGGAAAAUGAACAUGUUAAUUUACUACGAGAUUUAUCACUAAGAAGCGACCCGACUUUUCAACAUCCUAGUAUCCUAUAGCAUUGUGAGAUUUUAACUCAUUGCGGUGGCUCAACAUGUUAACUGUUUGUUUGCUAAGAAACCAAUAAAAAAAAAACCUCAAUGAGCAAGCAAAAAACAAGGAAUCCCACACUCCAAUAUUUUCCUACAAAUUUCUCAGUAACCCAACAGCGCAGGGCAAAAGAAAAUGAUAUCAAGGCAAGUACCUGGAUGCGGAACUUGAGAUGUUGGAGCUGGAGAUUUCCCCCGGGUUAGGGUUUCUGAAACACCAAAAACCAUAAAGGAAGAAACUUUGUUCUGAAUUGAAAUCGGAAGUCGAAAGGUCGCAAGUUUGUGGUCUUGACCCAUUUGCAGGCGUGCAGCCCAUCAUUCUCUGCCCAAAUCUUUUCAAACACGGAAGCCCAAUUCGUAUUUCAAACCGGGUCAAAACCACGCGUUCUGAUCUGACCCACCCGUUUUCUCAUGGUGCUGGAUCAUAAACCUCCGUCGCCCCUCUAAACCCCAGCAAGCCCUUCUUCUCAUUUCUUCAUUUUUCUCUCACUGUAGUCUUUUCCACAUGGGCAGCAGCCAAGUGGCGGUUUCAUUUCUAACCAACCUUGCACGCGCCGCUUUCGGUUUGGGCGCUGCAGCCACCGCCCUGAACGCCUCGCUUUACACCGUAGAUGGAGGACAACGCGCUGUGCUAUUCGACAGAUUUCGUGGAGUCAUCGACACCACCAUCGGUGAAGGGACACACUUUCUGAUCCCUUGGCUGCAGAAGCCCUUUAUCUUCGAUAUUCGUACUCGACCCCAUACUUUCUCGUCCGUCUCCGGUACUAAGGAUCUCCAGAUGGUCAAUCUCACUCUCCGUGUGCUCUCGCGUCCCGACGUAUCACGAUUGCCAUACAUCUUUCAACACCUAGGUCUUGAGUAUGAUGAGAAGGUGCUUCCCUCAAUUGGAAAUGAAGUCUUGAAGGCUGUUGUUGCACAGUUCAAUGCUGAUCAACUCCUCACUGAACGUCCCCAUGUGUCAGCUCUGGUCAGGGAAUCACUUAUCAAGCGUGCAAGGGACUUCAACAUUGUGCUGGAUGAUGUGGCUAUCACCCACCUGUCUUAUGGGGUGGAGUUCUCUAGGGCUGUGGAGCAGAAACAGGUGGCACAGCAGGAAGCAGAGAGGUCCAAGUUUGUUGUCAUGAAGGCUGACCAGGAGAGGCGGGCUGCAAUUAUCAGGGCAGAAGGUGAGAGUGAAGCUGCCCAUCUGAUCUCUGAUGCAACUUCAAAGGCUGGUAUGGGCUUAAUUGAGCUGAGGAGAAUUGAGGCAUCAAGAGAAAUUGCCGCUACUCUGGCAAAGUCACCCAAUGUAGCAUACCUUCCUGGUGGAAACAACAUUCUGAUGGCACUCAAUGCAAAUCGUUGAAUAGGGUAUUUGAGGGCGGCACAAUUGCAUUAACCGGAUUGUGAAUUGCUGAAGUAGCAUUUGCUUUGUUGCUAGAGAACUUUUUGAGGUUACUGAUUACA
rnacentral:misc_RNA from 1 species